UAAUACGUAGGUGGCGAGCGUUGUCCGGAUUUACUGGGCGUAAAGGGAGCGUAGGCGGACUUUUAAGUGAGAUGUGAAAUACCCGGGCUCAACUUGGGUGCUGCAUUUCAAACUGGAAGUCUAGAGUGCAGGAGAGGAGAAUGGAAUUCCUAGUGUAGCGGUGAAAUGCGUAGAGAUUAGGAAGAACACCAGUGGCGAAGGCGAUUCUCUGGACUGUAACUGACGCUGAGGCUCGAAAGCGUGGGGAGCAAACAGG
rnacentral:rRNA from 1 species